rnacentral:tRNA from 1 species
GCAUCUGUAGCUCAGGGGAUAGAGCACUGGUUUCCGGUACCAGGUUUGCGGGAGUUCGAAUCUUCUCAGAUGCA